rnacentral:rRNA from 1 species
CGUACACUCCUGCGGGAGGCAGCAGUGGGGAAUAUUGGACAAUGGGCGCAAGCCUGAUCCAGCCAUGCCGCGUGAGUGAUGAAGGCCCUAGGGUUGUAAAGCCCUUUCACCGGUGAAGAUAAUGACGGUAACCGGAGAAGAAGCCCCGGCUAACUUCGUGCCAGCAGCCGCGGUAAUACGAAGGGGGCUAGCGUUGUUCGGAUUUACUGGGCGUAAAGCGCACGUAGGCGGACUAUUAAGUCAGGGGUGAAAUCCCGGGGCUCAACCCCGGAACUGCCUUUGAUACUGGUAGUCUUGAGUUCGGGAGAGGUGAGUGGAAUUCCGAGUGUAGAGGUGAAAUUCGUAGAUAUUCGGAGGAACACCAGUGGCGAAGGCGGCUCACUGGCUCGAUACUGACGCUGAGGUGCGAAAGCGUGGGGAGCAAACAGGAUUAGAUACCCCAGUAGUCCCAUG